GAAGGUGGGCUUAGAAGCAGCCACCCUUGAAAGAGUUCGUAACAGAUCACUGGUCAAGCUUGCGGGCCCGGAAAAUGGACGGGGCUCAAACUGGUCACCGAUACACUGAUCCUUCGAAAGAAGAUGAGGUAGCGCGGCGAUGUGCUCGGGUAGAAGCGAGGUUGUGAGAUCUCGUGGACCGUGUACAUAUGAGAAUCUAGGGAAGAGUAGCAGCAUAGUGCGGUGAGAAUCCGCACCACCGAAAGGGUAAGGGUUCCUCGGCAAUGUUUUUCAGCCGAGGGUUAGCCGGUCCUAAGGUCAAUCUUAACCGACUUGAUCGAAAGGGAAUUGCGUUAAUAUUCGUAAGCCUCUCUGCAAUAAUGGUAACGGCUAAGGCUAGUUCGUGCACUUCAGUCAUGGAGUGUCGAAGCGUUCGAUAAUCGUGUGGAGAACCGUCAUGGUGAGAAACACGAGAAGGCGUGAGUGAAAGACGGAUGAGGCCUUGGUCCCAUGAAAAACCGCAGAAGAUGACCGUACCGAGAACUGACACAGGUACCCAAGGUGAGUAGCCUAAGGUGUGACGGGUAAAGUACCGCGAAGGAACUCGGCAAAAUAGCCCCGUAACUUCGGGAGAAGGGGUGCCAGCUCUGAAGAGAGCUGGUCGCAGUGACAAGAGGACUCCGACUGUUUAAUAAAAACAUAGGCGACUGCUAGAUCGAAAGGUUGUGUAUAGUCGCUGAAUCCUGCUCAGUGCCGGUAUCUGAAAUCGGGGUUCAACCUGACGAAGGACCGGUAAACAGCGGGGGUAACUAUGACCCUCUUAAGGUAGCGUAAUACCUUGUCGCUUAAUUGGCGACUUGCAUGAAUGGCACAACGAGAGUCCCACUGUCUCCGCGGUACGUCCGGCGAAAUUGACUAUUACUGGCGCACAGUCCAGUAACCUCAACCUGCAAGCGAAGACCCCGUAGAGCUUUACUGCAGCCUGGCGUUGUACAUUCGCACACUUUGUGCUGAGUAGACGGGAGAUGUUGAUCCUCGGGACGUUAGUCCCGGGAGUAGUCGUCCAUAGAGACACCGUCCUUAAUGUGUGACUGUACUAACUCUUCAUGAGAACACCGCUUGGUGGGCAGUUUGGGUGGGGCGCCACGCGCCCGAAAACCUAACAGGCGUGCCCAAAGGUCAGCUUAGGUGGUUCAGUCUCCACCGUAAACCGUAAGGGGAAAAGCUGGCUUGACGUGGAUCGGAUCAAUAACGAUCGACGAUGCGAAAGCAGGGCCUAACGAACCAAUGUGCCUCAUUUCUGGGGGCCAUUGAUAACAGAAAAGUUACCUCGGGGAUAAUUGAGUUGUCACCAGCAAGAGCACAUAUCGACCUGGUGGCUUGCUACUUCGAUGUCGUCUCUUCCCAACCUCCCGGUGCAGCAGCUGGGAAGGGUGGGGUUGUUCGCCCAUUAAAAGGGAUCGUGAGAUGGGUUUAGACCGUCGUGAGACAGGUUUGUUGCUUUGUGGUUGAGGCGUAUCAGGUGCCUGAUCGGAAGGGCCCUUUAGUACGAGAGGAACGAGGACUCGGAGCCACUAGUUUACCAGUUGUCCGGCAGGGCAAUGCUGGGUAGCCACGCUCCAUGUGGAUAAGAGCUGAAAGCAUCUAAGCUCGAAGUCACCCGAAAGACGAGGCAUCUCAGGGGACUCGUAGAAGACGAGUUUGAUAGACAGCGGGUGUAAGCACCGAGGUUCGCCGAGGUGUUCAGCCCAGCUGCACUAACCCCCCGAGCAUCCAAUU
rnacentral:rRNA from 1 species